UUCUCAAGGCCAUGUCUACCAAACAAGUAACAUGAGUUCUCUAACUUUACUGUCUCACAGCAGAAAUAGUGCCUGUGAAUGCAAUGGUUUUUACUUGGACAAAUCACAUACACCAAGUUUCCAGAAGAUCCUCCUUGCUGCCACUGCACUCCAUCCACACCCUGCAGGCAGCUCACAAUGACAGACCUUGAGCCAAAUACUGCCAGAAAAACAGCACAGCCAUGACUGUGCCAUACCUAUCUCUCAGCCAGUAAUCCUUGCCUUGGUUUAGCUUCUCCCUCAUUUUUAGCGUAUGUUUACACAAGGGCUGAUAGAGCUCAGGAGCUAGAGUGACAAAGACCCUGUGAAUAUUUGACUCACAGACAACUGUCAGCGUUCAAUGGGCUGGAUUAAGACGGAGCAUAGAACCAAGCACACUUUGACAUGUUGACAUGUUCUACUAAAGUGCAUUUCAAGGUGGAUUUAACCCGUUUGCUCCAUUGUGGAGCAACAGAGGAGACACAAUUGCCAAAUGGGGCCGAGCAUUCUUGAGAGUGGUUGAACUUUCCUCCCUCUGUCUGGAGAAGGACUGACACCGGCUUCGUUCUCAGGGUCCUACAGUUUGUGGCCAGGUGACAUCAGGCCUGCACUCGCCCGUUCUGGAUUUUAGUGCAGGUCAUCAUUAGCUGGCCGACCUGAAAGUUGAGCCCUGACCCCCACUCGCACACUGCUGCACCGUGGAGCACAGCUGAGGCUUAAAGGGCAAAUAUUUGACCUCAAUAUCAAUACUAAACAGGAAUCAAUCAAGAGA